CGCCAGUGCACUCCAGCCAAGACGACAGAACAAGACCCUGUCCAAAAAAAAAGACUUGCUAGGCAGAAGGGGGCAAGUGACUUUGAGGCUCUUGUGUUUUGAGUGAUGUCACAGAGACAGGCGGGUCACUAGAAUUGAUCGUGGAUAGUGAAUGAAGCAAAAUGUCCCAAAGCAAUGGGACUAGUGGGGUGGGGACAAGAGCACAUCUAGGAUAUGUUAAGGAGCAAUAGAUGUCUAACUGGGCAAAGAAGAACAAGGACCCUGGCUUCAGAAAAGCUGAGGAUUUAGGACUCCGUGCCAGGAGUUUGCACCCUCGGGACCUUGGGCAAGUCCCUUAGCCUCUCAUAGCCUCAGUUUCUCCUCUGUGGGUAUGUGCAGUAUCUGGCACAUGAAGGGCACUCAACAACCUUGUUUCCCUUUCUGCCACAGCUGAGUAGAGAAACAGGUGAAGAGGAAGGCCGCCAAAUGGAAGAGAUGGGAAAACACAUCGGGACAGCAGUGGGUGUGGCCAGAGAAGCCAGUGGCUACUUUCAAUUGCCUGUGUCUAAUCACAGAGGAAGAAACAUGUCCCUCAGUAGCUGUGUUUUUCAUGUUUUUCCCUUUAGAAGAGAGGGAGACAGGGGGGUCUCCCAGCCAGGAGCCCUAGAAGCAGCCGGGCUGCCGCAUGUUUCCACCUGCAAGCGAGGUUCCAGCCAGCUGUCCGGGCUGGGCUGCCACAACAAGCGGAAGGGAAGAGCGCCACUCACCUGGGAUCGCGAUGUUUCUCACCCUCCUCAAGUGUGCAUUGCCAGCUAGGCAUUGCUAAGCUAAUUUACGUGUUGUAGCUCUGGAGGCUCAAGUUCACAGGUGGCAGAUGGCUGGCACAGAGGAAGCCAAAACAGAGGCUUUUCUGCCCUGAAGAGUCACUAGAAUCUGUGGUCCUGGAUCACUGACAGUGGCACUCGGUGUCAACUAGGAGUCCAGGGUGGGCAGGCUGUCCUGCACACUGCCUUCCCUUGGGAAACAUGGCCAUAAGAGGUUGUGGUGCCCAUUCCAGCAAGAACAUGCUGCUUGGCUGUCCGUCGCUUGGCCCGUACUCUGGGGGCGCUAAUUUUGAGGGGAUGGGCCUGGGGCUGUGGGAUUAACCGUGUCCUGAGUGACCCCCUGAAACCUCUGAAAUAUUAAAAAACGGGAAAACAGCGGGUUAAGUGUUUC
rnacentral:lncRNA from 10 species